AGAUCUUAACACUAGGCCGGUCAUUUUACACGGGACGGGUGAUCACGUGGGUCGUCAUACUGGAUCUCCGGAACGGGCUUCGGAUCUGCCUGUAGAGUAGCGAAAUUGAAAAGAGCAGAGCUUCAGAGCUAGUCACUUAAUAGGAUAGAGAACCCAGCAGUCGCAUUAAGCUAGUUAGAGUAGAAGAGUAACGAGCUUCACCAAAGAGCAAACGAAUAGAAGUAAGCCAGAACCUAGAAGAAGAGGUAGAUCGAGCCACACUAGGGACUAGAAGACACAGGCCUCAAGAUCUCCAUACAGAGAGAAGAGCAAGUCAAGUAAGAGAGAAAAUCUUUCUCAGCAAUAGAGANCAGACAAAUGUCUAGAACAGAGAAGUCAAUCAGCACAAGACAGUAGAAGUAGAUAGAAUUGAGCUUUUCGAGAGUUCAGUAACAAAUCUUCUAGUUUAGUUAGAGGGAAAACGAAACAAAGUNGCUUAAGAUAUAGAAUAACGCUAGGCACCUUGACAGGUACCUAAUCCAGAAAAGCUCACGGCUAACUACGUAGCCAGCAGCCGCGGUAAUACAGUAGGUGGCAAGCGUUAAUCCGGAAUUAUUGGGCGUCAAAGCGCGCGCAGGUGGUUUUCUUAAAGUUCCUUGAAUUAGUUGAAACANGCCCCAACCGAGGCUUCCANACCCCGUGUGG
rnacentral:rRNA from 1 species